rnacentral:rRNA from 1 species
UACGUAGGGUGCAAGCGUUGUCCGGAAUUAUUGGGCGUAAAGAGCUCGUAGGCGGCUUGUCGCGUCUGCUGUGAAAACCAGAGGCUCAACCUCUGGCCUGCAGUGGGUACGGGCAAGCUAGAGUGCGGUAGGGGAGAUUGGAAUUCCUGGUGUAGCGGUGGAAUGCGCAGAUAUCAGGAGGAACACCGAUGGCGAAGGCAGGUCUCUGGGCAUUAACUGACGCUGAGGAGCGAAAGCAUGGGGAGCGAACAGG